rnacentral:tRNA from 1 species
GAGGGGAUAGCUCAGUGGUAGAGGGUGUGCUUCGCACAUUUGAGGUCCUGGGUUCAAUCCCCAGUACCUCCA